AUCUAUUGCCAUAUCAACUUGUACCUACCUAAUCUCAUCUGUACUCAGAAGCUAAGCAGGGUUAGACCUGAUUAAUGCUUGCAUGGGAAAGUUAUUUAUUUUAAAGUUAAUUAGGUCAGCAUCUU
rnacentral:rRNA from 1 species